UAUGCUGUCUAGGUUUGUCAUAACUUUUCUUCCAAGGAGCAAGCGUCUUUUAAUUUCAUGGCUGCAGUCACCAUCUGCAGUGAUUUUGGAGCCCCAAAAAAUCGCCAAGAGCGAAACUGCACCUUUGGGGAGGACGAAUUUCCUUUACCUCCUCUUCCUCCUUCUCGAGUGACUCAAGCUUUUCCUUCCUUGCCACAGACAACAGUUCUGUUACCCCUCCAGAAAAGUGUUUGGUGGGCUCAACAGGAGGGUGACUUGGAAGCUAUGACCAUGACAUUUCCAAUGACAGUACAGGAACGAGUAGCUCCUGGAAAGAUCCUAAUAAUCCUAAUGGGGUGUAUGAGGCUGUGUACAAACAGAUUCCCUCCAAAAUACUAAUGGAACUUAAGCAAGCUGUUCAAAAUUAUGAAGUAAAUUCUCCUUUUACCUUGGAAAUAGUGCAGGGACUAGCUGAGGGUUCCCAUUUGAUUAUGGUGGCUCGUGACCAAGCCAGACAGAUCCCCAUCUCUUUAGAUCAAUUGAUAGGCAGUGGAAACUGGGGGAGAACUCAAGAUCAAGUGCUUAUGGAAGAUGAGGCUAUAGAACAGGUGAGGCAAUACUGCAUAAGAGCCUGGGAGAAAAUGGAGGUUAAAGGACAGGCUUUCUUUACUUUAAGAGAAGACCUCACCUCCCCAGAGAGGAAAUCCUUGCUGGGACAACACUUAUCAGUUUACCCCUGUCAUUAGAGCCAACUAGAACACUCUCUGGUUUCAAGUUUAGCUAUGAAACUAUGAGUACAAAAAAGAGAAAUGACAUUUCUGACACUGAAUGGCCAUGAUAUUCUUUAGACUUUGGAAAAAAACUGGUUAAAAUAAAAUCUUUUUUGAAGUUGAAAAACCGGUUCUUCUUGCAUGUGCAAUUAAAAAAAAAGUUGGCUUGUUAAAAUACUUUUUUGGAGCUCCAAUUCUGCCUGAGAAACAAAAACAGACCUGGGAAAAAACCUAAAGUUAACUCUUAUCAUAUCCUUGGGAUACACAACCCACUCUAUCUGGGACUCCAGCCAUAAACAAAUUGGUAGAACUCAAACCAAAAAAAAAAGAAGGGGCAAAGAGACAUUUCAAAUAUCAAACAAAAAAAAUGAGACAUUUUAAAUAUCAAACAGAAAAGUAUGAGAUCUCUGUCUAUUUAUGUGUGUCUCACUGUGUGUCUUCAUCCUUGGACAAAAUUGCUAAAGGCUAAUUGGUCAAUGAGCUCUAUUUAAUUGGCCUAAAGAGAAGAAUUGGAGACAUUUGGGUUCUGAACAGCCUCACCAAGGUCCAAAAAAGACUAUCUCCAGACAUACACAAAAAUCUCAGAGUAUAUUGAGGAGCCCAAACUCAUACAGAUGAGGAAACUAACAAUAGUCCUCAGAUGCAUGCAAAAAACCCUCCAAAAACUAAUGAAGAAAGAAGUUGCAAGAUCAACAUAUCUUCUGCUACAAAAACAAAAAGGGGGAUAUGCAGGGGUUAACAGUCAGCCAUCUGUUGCUCUGGCUAAGCCAUGAGAAAAUCACCAUGGGAAAAGAAUAAAAGCACAAUGUAGCA